ACCCCAUACUAUUUGGUGCCAAAUGCAGGUGAUCGACUGAACACACACAACAGUGCAAGUGAGCUAACCUCGUGGAAGAAGAUGCAGAAGGAAACCAGCUAGAAAAGCGAGGCAAAGGAGAAAGAAAUAGUACCAGGGUUAAACAGAACAAGGGCUGAGACUCACGGCCAGACAGAGCACAGAGAAGAGCUGCACGCGCACCCUGGUUCCCAGGGCCCAGGAACGACCACAGCGGCAAUCUUUGGUGAGCAAGGCAGACCACAGCAGAGCAGAGAACCCUGGAACAUCGGACAGCUGUUUCUGAAGAAAUCCAUCCAAAAGCAAAGCAGGAUCAACAAGAAUAGGAUCCAGAGGAAUGAAGUUCGCAUGAGGGGAGGCAAUGCCAGCCCCUGUCUAGGGAAAUUACACACAGGGCUUGAAACCCAAGCAUUUAAGAGAACCAUGCAGAAACAGGCUGGGUAAGCAGGCUCGCCUCCCUGAGAAGGGCAUUUCAGGGAGCAAUUGCUCUCAGUUAUGAAGCAGACAAAAAUCAUUUCUAAAUGUCAUUAUUUCCAAAGAUAGUUCUAUUGAUAUGCUCCCCCAUGCCUCUCCCGAGAUCCAGGAUGAACUGCAAACAGCCUGCAGAUAAUAGAGUACAGAGUAGAAUCAGCUGGGAUGGGCAAGGGCAAAGCAAAGACUGAAAACUGGGCACUGUUCAGGACUGUCCCGCUAAAGACUUUAAAGAUCAUGUAACAUCUUUAUCAAGCGACAUUGUCAUUUGAACUGCGGGGAAAAAAUCUGUAACUGGGAGGAGCGGUUCUUUUCAUACAGGAAGGUUUUCCUGUAGUUGAUUGACUUCAAUGCUGGGCAGUAGAAAAUAGGUUAAUAUGGGGAGAGUUAGAAGGUAAAUUUCCUUCUCUCAAAUCAUUUUCAGACAUUUGAGAAUGUAUACCUUUUUUUUAACUUCCUCUUGGAAGGGUUUAAGGAUGAUGAGAGGCUGAAAAGGGAAUUUGUAUUAGAAAAGGAGGAGGUUUAUGACAGAAAGCACCUCUCUUUUCUUGAUUGGGCUCAAAAUACCUUGAAAUAGCUUUGUAGUUCCCAUAAACCUGUCCAUGCCUUCUUUAAUCCAAAAAGAGACCAUUUAGGUGUCCCCUGAGAAGGUUCCACAGUAAAAGAAUCUGCCUGCAGGGAAUAAAGUCUCAAUCUUUGGGUCUUGAAGAUCUCCUGGAGGAGGAAAUGUCAUCCCACUCCAGUAUUCUUACCUGGAAAAUCACAUGGACAGAGGGGCCUGGUGGGAUACUGUCCACGGGAUCUCAAAAAGUCAGACAU
ensembl:lncRNA